GAUGAACGCUGGCGGCGUGCCUAAUACAUGCAAGUCGAGCGAACAGACGAGGAGCUUGCUCCUCUGACGUUAGCAGCGGACGGGUGAGUAACACGUGGAUAACCUACCUAUAAGACUGGGAUAACUUCGGGAAACCGGAGCUAAUACCGGAUAAUAUAUUGAACCGCAUGGUUCAAUAGUGAAAGACGGUUUUGCUGUCACUUAUAGAUGGAUCCGCGCCGCAUUAGCUAGUUGGUAAGGUAACGGCUUACCAAGGCAACGAUGCGUAGCCGACCUGAGAGGUUGAUCGGCCACACUGGAACUGAGACACGGUCCAGACUCCUACGGGAGGCAGCAGUAGGGAAUCUUCCGCAAUGGGCGAAAGCCUGACGGAGCAACGCCGCGUGAGUGAUGAAGGUCUUCGGAUCGUAAAACUCUGUUAUUAGGGAAGAACAAAUGUGUAAGUAACUAUGCACGUCUUGACGGUACCUAAUCAGAAAGCCACGGCUAACUACGUG
rnacentral:rRNA from 1 species